GAUGAAGAACGUAGCGAAAUGCGAUAAGUAAUGUGAAUUGCAGAAUUCAGUGAAUCAUCGAAUCUUUGAACGCACAUUGCGCCCGCCAGUAUUCUGGCGGGCAUGCCUGUUCGAGCGUCAUUUCAACCAUCAAGCCCCCGGCUUGUGUUGGGGACCUGCGGCUGCCGCAGGCCCUGAAAACCAGUGGCGGGCUCGCUAGUCACUCCGAGCGUAGUAAUACAUCUCGCUCAGGGCGUGCUGCGGGUUCCGGCCGUUAAAAAGCCUUAUUUACCCAAGGCUGACCUCGGAUCAGGUAGGAAGACCCGCUGAACUUAAGCAUAUCAAUAAGCGGAGGA
rnacentral:misc_RNA from 1 species